CUUAAAGCAAAUAAAAAUAGCCAAACUCUUACAUUCUCUGGCUAUAAUGUAUGUGACAUAAAAAAUAUAACCAUAAAGCAAAUAAGCAUAGAAAUUACAUUCAACAGCAAGAUUCAGUACAUUUUUUGGCCAUAAAAUUACAGUAGUGUUUCAAAACUCCAGGCACAAACAUAAGCUUAUAAUGAAAGAUUAAUUCCAUACCAGGUGCAGGCAUGUAAUCCCAGUAAGACACAUGCUUAAUGCUUUGGGAUUCAGCAGUUGUGUCUUGCUGAGAUGACAUGCCAUUGUAACAUGCAACUGAUAAGAACAGCAAAAGUCAAUGAAGAUACGCCAUUUCCCUAAUAAUAAAUAUGACCAGAACUAAACUGACAAGCACAUUCAAAAGAUAUACUGAUGGUGGAUCUGUUUUAUGGCUUAACUGAGGUAUCUCCAGGGAAAUGAAAGACCUCCUUUUGUUGCUGCUACCAGCCCCGUCAGAAGCAGCCGUUAAACUGGAAAUGUAAAGCUUCUUUUUGCUGCUGCUAGUGGAUCCGUUAGAGCUAGAGUUUGAAUCUUUUCUUUCCCUUGUUUUUUGUGCCAUUUUCUUGUCUUUGACUAACCUCAUAGUGGCUUUUUCUGUUCGGGGAAGAUCAACAGCAUGAUGUACAGCUUCUCCCA
rnacentral:lncRNA from 1 species